UUAUUCUGAUUUCCCUUCAAAAUGAAUAAAUCUUUCGCUUUUAAUAAAGAUUUCCCUGGAUGAGUAUUCAUUGAUGAGUCUGAAAUGAAGUUACUCUCUAUGAAUACUAAUUCAAUG